rnacentral:rRNA from 1 species
AUUGAACGCUGGCGGCAGGCCUAACACAUGCAAGUCGAACGGUAACAGGAAGCAGCUUGCUGCUUUGCUGCCGAGUGGCGGACGGGUGAGUAAUGUCUGGGAAACUGCCCGAUGGAGGGGGAUAACUACUGGAAACGGUAGCUAAUACCGCAUAACGUCGCAAGACCAAAGAGGGGGACCUUAGGGCCUCUUGCCAUCGGAUGUGCCCCGAUGGGAUUAGCUAGUAGGUGGGGUAACGGCUCACCUAGGCGACGAUCCCUAGCUGGUCUGAGAGGAUGACCACCCACACUGGAACUGAGACACGGUCCAGACUCCUACGGGAGGCAGCAGUGGGGAAUAUUGCGCAAUGGGCGCAAGCCUGAUGCAGCCAUGCCGCGUGUAUGAAGAAGGCCUUCGGGUUGUAAAGUACUUUCAGCGGUGAGGAAGGGAGUAAAGUUAAUACCUUUGCUCAUUGACGUUACCCGCAGAAGAAGCACCGGCUAACUCCGUG